rnacentral:rRNA from 1 species
UGGUUAAUAUUCCAAUACUUCUGUGUAAUGCGAUGAGAGGACGGAGAAGGUUAGGUCAGCCUGGCGUUGGUUGUCCAGGUGGAAGACAGUAGGCAUGCAUCUUAGGCAAAUCCGGGGUGCUCUAUGCUGAGAGUCGAUAGCAAGCCAGUUUACUGGCGAAGUGGCCGAUACCAUACUUCCAAGAAAAGUCUCUAAGCUUCAGUUACACAGGAAUCGUACCCGAAACCGACACAGGUGGUCAGGUCGAGUAGACCAAGGCGCUUGAGAGAACUCUGCUGAAGGAACUAGGCAAAAUGGUACCGUAACUUCGGGAGAAGGUACGCUGCUGAUGGUGAUAGGACUUGCUCCUUGAGCUGUCGGCAGCCGCAGAAACCAGGCCGCUGCAACUGUUUAUUAAAAACAUAGCACUCUGCAAACACGAAAGUGGACGUAUAGGGUGUGAUGCCUGCCCGGUGCUGGAAGGUUAAUUGAUGGGGUUAGCGUAAGCGAAGCUCUUGAUCGAAGCCCCAGUAAACGGCGGCCGUAACUAUAACGGUCCUAAGGUAGCGAAAUUCCUUGUCGGGUAAGUUCCGACCUGCACGAAUGGCAUAAUGAUGGCGGCGCUGUCUCCAGCAGAGGCUCAGUGAAAUCGAAAUCGCUGUGAAGAUGCAGUGUACCCGCGGCUAGACGGAAAGACCCCGUGAACCUUUACUGCAGCUUGACACUGAACUUUGACCUUACUUGUGUAGGAUAGGUGGGAGGCUUUGAAGUAGGGACGCCAGUUCCUAUGGAGCCAUCCUUGAAAUACCACCCUGGUAAUGUUGAGGUUCUAACUCUGACCCAUAAUCUGGGUCGAGGACCGUGUCUGGUGGGUAGUUUGACUGGGGCGGUCUCCUCCUAAAGAGUAACGGAGGAGUACGAAGGUGCGCUCAGCGUGGUCGGAAAUCACGCGUAGAGUAUAAAGGCAAAAGCGCGCUUAACUGCGAGACCCACAAGUCGAGCAGGUACGAAAGUAGGUCUUAGUGAUCCGGUGGUUCUGUAUGGAAGGGCCAUCGCUCAACGGAUAAAAGGUACUCUGGGGAUAACAGGCUGAUACCGCCCAAGAGUUCAUAUCGACGGCGGUGUUUGGCACCUCGAUGUCGGCUCAUCUCAUCCUGGGGCUGAAGCAGGUCCCAAGGGUAUGGCUGUUCGCCAUUUAAAGAGGUACGCGAGCUGGGUUUAGAACGUCGUGAGACAGUUCGGUCCCUAUCUACCGUGGGCGCUGGAAAUUUGAGAGGAUCUGCUCCUAGUACGAGAGGACCAGAGUGGACGAACCUCUGGUGUACCGGUUGUGACGCCAGUCGCAUCGCCGGGUAGCUAUGUUCGGAAGGGAUAACCGCUGAAAGCAUCUAAGCGGGAAGCCUACCUCAAGAUAAGAUUUCCCCGUGACUUUAUGUCACCUAAAGAGCCGUUCAAGACCAGGACGUUGAUAGGUUGGAUGUGGAAGCAUAGUGAUAUGUGAAGCUGACCAAUACUAAUUGCUCGUGAGGCUUGACUA